CGAGCUGCUGCCCGGGCACGGCGUCGGCGUCACCGUCGCCGACAUCGGCUGCGGCUCCGGCCGGGUCGCGGAUCAUCUCGCGCGGCACGGC
rnacentral:tRNA from 2 species